CAAACAGCUAGGAAUUUCUGUCCCCUGGGUGGGUGAGAACAAUCCUUGAAGAAGCACUUGAUCUACUAGGGUUCUAUAAGACUGAUGAGUGAUCUAUGACUCAUAUGGCCUUGUUGUAUGCCACCAAAGUAUAUCUAGCUGUUAGAAAGACGAGGAAUAGAGGGCAUGGCCUUUUGAAAUGGAAGAUUGAAGCACUCGGAGCUUUGAUGCAGUACUUAAAGAAUAAUGUACAAAACAUCACCAAUAUGAAGUUAAAUGCAGUAGUUCCAAUCAAUGGGAAACUUAAACCAAUGCGGAUUUUGACAGAGUAAGGAGUGAAAGAAGAGGCUGUUGUGAAGAGCAAUCGACAAUAUUAGGUUUCAUCUUAAAAACUCGGGGGAAAAUGAUUGUGAAGUACCUUCAAAGAAUCAUCUUAUUCUUGAAUAUGUGAAAGUUGAAAUUAUUUUGGUCUUAUAGCAAAAUAGCAAUGAUAUAUUGCAUAUUACAUAAACCACUGAAUUAGUAAACUCCUGCUGAACCAUCGUUUUAUUUUUGUAUUCCAUAGUAUGCCAUCCUAUUGGGAUAACCAAAACAACCUCAAGCCAAGACUAUAUUUUCAUACAAUUAAUUAGCCUCAUAAUUCUUAAUAUUGCUAACUUUCUACAUUUAGUUUUUUUAAACUCAGUUAUGGAAAACCAGUUGACUUGUUUGAAUUAAGUUGUAAAUAUUGUUGGCUUAGAGAGAGAAUGGCUUAAGUAUGAAGAUUAUUGGGCAUAACAAAGGUUGUACAACACAUCUUUAACAUUCUGUCAAGCCUAUGCAACAUGUAGAAGUGCUAAUCAAGUAGAACACUCUGAACCUUGGGGUCAAUAAAAAUCCACAAUACUGUGUUUGUUAGCCAUUUGUAUAUCCAAAUUACUAAUUAAAGAGGAAUCUGGUGACUUCACCACACCUCCUGCUGACUCCUCA